UCAGCGUGUAGCUCAGCAGCAGAGCACCGGGCUUGGGACUCGGAGGGCGCAGGGGCAGCACCUGCCGCGCUGGCUCGGUCCGCCCACCUCGGGC
rnacentral:tRNA from 1 species